GACGAACGCUGGCGGCGUGCUUAACACAUGCAAGUCGAACGGAAAGGCCCAGCUUUUGUGGGGUGCUCGAGUGGCGAACGGGUGUGUAACACGUGAGUAACCUGCCCUUGACUUUGGGAUAACUUCAGGAAACUGGGGCUAAUACCGGAUAGGAGCUCCUGCUGCAUGGUGGGGGUUGGAAAGUUUCGGCGGUUGGGGAUGGACUCGCGGCUUAUCAGCUUGUUGGUGGGGUAGUGGCUUACCAAGGCUUUGACGGGUAGCCGGCCUGAGAGGGUGACCAGCCACAUUGGGAAGAAGAUACGACCGAGAGUCCUACGGGGUGCAGCAGGGGGGAAUAUUGCACGUUGGGCGGAAGCCUGAAGCAGCAACGCCGCGUGCGGGAUAGCGGCCUUCGGGUUGUAAACCGCUUUAGCCUGUGAUGAGGCGUGAGGAAAGGUAAUGUGUAGUGAAACAGCGGCUUGCUAAGUG
rnacentral:rRNA from 1 species